GACGAACGCUGGCGGCGUGCUUAACACAUGCAAGUCGAGCGGUAAGGCCUUUCGGGGUACACGAGCGGCGAACGGGUGAGUAACACGUGGGUGAUCUGCCCUGCACUCUGGGAUAAGCCUGGGAAACUGGGUCUAAUACUGGAUAUGACCUCAGCAUGCAUGUGCUGGGGUGGAAAGCUUUUGUGGUGCAGGAUGGGCCCGCGGCCUAUCAGCUUGUUGGUGGGGUAAUGGCCUACCAAGGCGACGACGGGUAGCCGACCUGAGAGGGUGACCGGCCACACUGGGACUGAGACACGGCGCAGACUCCUACGGGAGGCAGCAGUGGGGAAUAUUGCACAAUGGGCGGAAGCCUGAUGCAGCGACGCCGCGUGAGGGAUGAAGGCCUUCGGGUUGUAAACCUCUUUCAGCAGGGACGAAGCGUGAGUGACGGUACCUGCAGAAGAAGCACCGGCUAACUACGUGCCAGCAGCCGCAGUAAAAC
rnacentral:rRNA from 1 species